AUUGAACGCUGGCGGCAGGCCUAACACAUGCAAGUCGAGCGGAUGAGUGGAGCUUGCUCCAUGAUUCAGCGGCGGACGGGUGAGUAAUGCCUAGGAAUCUGCCUGGUAGUGGGGGACAACGUUUCGAAAGGAACGCUAAUACCGCAUACGUCCUACGGGAGAAAGUGGGGGAUCUUCGGACCUCACGCUAUCAGAUGAGCCUAGGUCGGAUUAGCUAGUUGGUGAGGUAAAGGCUCACCAAGGCGACGAUCCGUAACUGGUCUGAGAGGAUGAUCAGUCACACUGGAACUGAGACACGGUCCAGACUCCUACGGGAGGCAGCAGUGGGGAAUAUUGGACAAUGGGCGAAAGCCUGAUCCAGCCAUGCCGCGUGUGUGAAGAAGGUCUUCGGAUUGUAAAGCACUUUAAGUUGGGAGGAAGGGCAGUAAGUUAAUACCUUGCUGUUUUGACGUUUACCAACAGAAUAAGCACCGGCUAACUUCGUGCCAGC
rnacentral:rRNA from 1 species